AAAAACUUAGGUUAAUGUAAACCAAGGGCCUUCAAAGCCCUUAAUAAGGACACCCCCCCCUUAGUUUUUG
rnacentral:tRNA from 1 species